UCAGGUCACACCCGGCCUCAUGGGCUUCGAUAAGGACUGAGACUUUAACCUAGAGUGACCUGAGGGUUUAGAGCAGAGAGGUGAUGUGAUCAGACUGCUCUCACUACCAUGUCGAGAACAGGCCACAGAGAAGCAAGGGCAGGGGCAAGAAGGCCAGAAAGGACACUACCUAAAGUGUUCGGGAGAGACCAGAUGAAGAAACUGAAUCACAAAGAAGCUAAAUAACUUGGCUCAAGGUCAUGCAGCUGGUAACAGCAUGAAGAUCCUUAGAUCUCUGGCACAAAAUCUUCCAGAGGAAGAACCUAGCUGCAGAACCCACAGGAUGUCUAGUGUGUCAGUGACAACUGUGAUUCUCUUGAGGCCAGUGUGUUGUCUUAGCCUAACUGACUGGGCUAGGGAAAUAUUUCAGUGGUUCCUGAGGCUGAAACCAUACACACCGCCACCCCGUUGCAGGGCUCUCGCCCUUACCUUCAGUCUCUGCACGAUCUCCCUUAUGUCCUCCACAGAGCCCUCUGUCGCCUGUAGGAAGAUGUGGUCCCCUCGUCCAUAGAAUAUUUUGAGUGUGGAGGAGUCUGGAGUCCAGCCAAUGACAUCCCCGCAGUAGCAGUUGAACACCACCUCCUUGGUGCGUAGGUCCAGGAGCACCACAAACUCAUUGGAAAUUCCCAAAAUGCAGUCGAUUUCCACCCCCUGGGCAUAGUCCUGGGCUGCCACCCUCCAGGCGAUGGCCCCUGCGCUGUGCUGCUCAGCGCCGGCCCGUGCUUUUGUCUUUUCCUUCUUCUUGGAGGUCAGGGAGAUGAGGUUGAAUUUGCCGGUGGAGUCGAUGGGGGUGUUGGAGACACAGUUUUCGGCCAGGUCCUUGAGAUACUCCUGGCGGGUCCUGGUGGCCAUGGUGUGGAACUUGUCGGACUUGUGCGCAGCAUUCUCAGCGUUAAUCACCUUGGCCAGCAAGAAGUCUCUGAAGACGUCGGAUUUGCGGAAUGUGGUUCCACUGGGGAUGGGGGGGCCGAAAGGAGGAGCGUCUUUGGAUCGGGUCACAGCCAUACUGUGGAGGGAGAGAUUAUUUAGAUGGUGGGAAGAAAGGCUCUAAGACACUUUAGAAAGAAAAUAUUCGAUCAAAAAAUAGGAAUAGGGUUUUUUUGUUUGUUUUAUCGAGACAGGUCUCACUCUGUCACCCAGGCUG